AGUGUUGCAUAUGAGGAUAAUUUUCGAUGUUCUUGGGAUUAAAUAUAAACUCUUGCCUCAGCAGGUUGACCUUAACUAUAAUGGGUCUAUGGCCUCAGCAAUUCCACCUCCUUCACGAUAAUUAGUUAAUGGACUGUCCUCUUUCAAAAUAAAUCACUCUCUUCUCUCCCUGCUGUUGUUAGAAGCCUUUAGGCUACGUGUGGUAGUAAUGUAAUAUGUACAAUGUGAUCAAUCUUGUGAUAAAAUGAAUAAUGUAAU
rnacentral:misc_RNA from 1 species